ACGAACGCUGGCGGCGUGCUUAACACAUGCAAGUCGAACGGAAAGGCCCUGCUUUUGUGGGGUGCUCGAGUGGCGAACGGGUGAGUAACACGUGAGUAACCUGCCCUUGACUUUAGGAUAACUUCAGGAAACUGGGGCUAAUACCGGAUAUGAGCUCCUGCUGCAUGGUGGGGGUUGGAAAGUUUCGGCGGUUGGGGAUGGACUCGCGGCUUAUCAGCUUGUUGGUGGGGUAGUGGCUUACCAAGGCUUUGACGGGUAGCCGGCCUGAGAGGGUGACCGGCCACAUUGGGACUGAGAUACGGCCCAGACUCCUACGGGAGGCAGCAGUGGGGAAUAUUGCACAAUGGGCGGAAGCCUGAUGCAGCAACGCCGCGUGCGGGAUGACGGCCUUCGGGUUGUAAACCGCUUUCGCCUGUGACGAAGCGUGAGUGACGGUAAUGGGUAAAGAAGCACCGGCUAACUACGUG
rnacentral:rRNA from 1 species